rnacentral:rRNA from 1 species
GACGAACGCUGGCGGCGUGCUUAACACAUGCAAGUCGAACGGAAAGGCCCUGCUUUUGUGGGGUGCUCGAGUGGCGAACGGGUGAGUAACACGUGAGUAACCUGCCUUUGACUUUGGGAUAACUUCAGGAAACUGGGGCUAAUACCGGAUAGGAGCUCCUGCUGCAUGGUGGGGGUUGGAAAGUUUCGGCGGUUGGGGAUGGACUCGCGGCUUAUCAGCUUGUUGGUGGGGUAGUGGCUUACCAAGGCUUUGACGGGUAGCCGGCCUGAGAGGGUGACCGGCCACAUUGGGACUGAGAUACGGCCCAGACUCCUACGGGAGGCAGCAGUGGGGAAUAUUGCACAAUGGGCGGAAGCCUGAUGCAGCAACGCCGCGUGCGGGAUGACGGCCUUCGGGUUGUAAACCGCUUUCGCCUGUGACGAAGCGUGAGUGACGGUAAUGGGUAAAGAAGCACCGGCUAAGUACGUG